CUAGGGUAAAACUGGUAACUGGGGCUAAGUCGUAACAAGGUAGCCGUACCGGAAGGUGUGGCUGGAAUACCUCCUUU
rnacentral:rRNA from 1 species